rnacentral:rRNA from 1 species
UGGGGAAUUUUGGACAAUGGGCGCAAGCCUGAUCCAGCCAUGCCGCGUGAGUGAAGAAGGCCUUCGGGUUGUAAAGCUCUUUCAGCCGGAAAGAAAACGGACAGGAUAAUACCCUGUGUGGAUGACGGUACCGGAAGAAGAAGCACCGGCUAACUACGUGCCAGCAGCCGCGGUAAUACGUAGGGUGCGAGCGUUAAUCGGAAUUACUGGGCGUAAAGCGUGCGCAGGCGGUUUUGUAAGACAGACGUGAAAUCCCCGGGCUUAACCUGGGAACUGCGUUUGUGACUGCAAGGCUAGAGUACGGCAGAGGGGGGUAGAAUUCCACGUGUAGCAGUGAAAUGCGUAGAUAUGUGGAGGAAUACCGAUGGCGAAGGCAGCCCCCUGGGUCGAUACUGACGCUCAUGCACGAAAGCGUGGGGAGCAAA